rnacentral:rRNA from 1 species
GACGAACGCUGGCGGCGUGCUUAACACAUGCAAGUCGAACGGAAAGGCCCUGCUUUUGUGGGGUGCUCGAGUGGCGAACGGGUGAGUAACACGUGAGUAACCUGCCCUUGACUUUGGGAUAACUUCAGGAAACUGGGGCUAAUACCGGAUAGGAGCUCCUGCUGCAUGGUGGGGGUUGGAAAGUUUCGGCGGUUGGGGAUGGACUCGCGGCUUAUCAGCUUGUUGGUGGGGUAGUGGCUUACCAAGGCUUUGACGGGUAGCCGGCCUGAGAGGGUGACCGGCCACAUUGGGACUGAGAUACGGCCCAGACUACUACGGGAGGCAGCAGUGGGGAAUAUUGCACAAUGGGCGGAAGCCUGAUGCAGCAACGCCGCGUGCGGAUGACGGCCUUCGGGUUGUAAACCGCUUUCGCCUGUGACGAAGCGUGAGUGACGGUAAUGGGUAAAGAAGCACCGGCUAACUACGUG